rnacentral:rRNA from 1 species
GAUGAACGCUGGCGGCGUGCCUAAUACAUGCAAGUCGAGCGAACAGACGAGGAGCUUGCUCCUCUGACGUUAGCGGCGGACGGGUGAGUAACACGUGGAUAACCUACCUAUAAGACUGGGAUAACUUCGGGAAACCGUAGCUAAUACCGGAUAAUAUAUUGAACCGCAUGGUUCAAUAGUGAAAGACGGUUUUGCUGUCACUUAUAGAUGGAUCCGCGCUGCAUUAGCUAGUUGGUAAGGUAACGGCUUACCAAGGCGACGAUGCAUAGCCGACCUGAGAGGGUGAUCGGCCACACUGGAACUGAGACACGGUCCAGACUCCUACGGGAGGCAGCAGUAGGGAAUCUUCCGCAAUGGGCGAAAGCCUGACGGAGCAACGCCGCGUGAGUGAUGAAGGUCUUCGGAUCGUAAAACUCUGUUAUUAGGGAAGAACAAAUGUGUAAGUAACUAUGCACGUCUUGACGGUACCUAAUCAGAAAGCCACGGCUAACUACGUG